rnacentral:rRNA from 1 species
GACGAACGCUGGCGGCGUGCUUAACACAUGCAAGUCGAACGGGAUUUAGUAGACAGAAGCCUCGGCUAAAGAUUACUAAUGAGAGUGGCGAACGGGUGAGUAACGCGUGAGCAACCUGCCUAUGACAGUGGGAUAGCCUCGGGAAACCGGGAUUAUACCGCAUAAAAUCGUAGAAACACAUGUUUUAACGGUCAAAGAUUUAUCGGUCAUAGAUGGGCUCGCGUCUGAUUAGCUAGUUGGUGAGAUAACAGCCCACCAAGGCGACGAUCAGUAGCCGGUCUGAGAGGAUGAACGGCCACAUUGGAACUGAGACACGGUCCAAACUCCUACGGGAGGCAGCAGUGGGGAAUAUUGCACAAUGGGGGAAACCCUGAUGCAGCGACGCCGCGUGAACGAAGAAGGUAUUCGUAUCGUAAAGUUCUGUCCUAUGGGAAGAUAAUGACAGUACCAUAGAAGAAAGCUCCGGCUAAAUACGUG